rnacentral:lncRNA from 1 species
GCUUGCUGGACAGACGAAAACAACAGGGCUGCACUCACCUUUAUUUUCCUGCCUGCCUUCCUGGAGGGCAGUGAGACGCAGGCCCAGAUCCUUCACACAGGGGAGCGAGAAGAGAGGGAGGAAGAGGCUGCCCAUCAACAUUGCCACCAUGGCAGCCUCCUGCCCCUGAGAAAGUGGAAAUGCCCAGGCUUCCACAUUAAGGACUCAGAAAUUUCUAACACUUUACAAGAGGGAGGAGUGAACAGCAAGUGGUUUGGAAAUCACAAAUUUGUAGGAGCUCAGCAAGUGCUACUUAGGUCUAAGGGACACAGGGCAGGUUUGGAUUAAGAAAUGACACCAGUUUGGGGCCGGGCGCAGUGGCUCACGCCUGUAAUCCCAGCACUUUGGGAGGCCGAGGCAGGCGGAUCAUGAGGUCAGGAGAUCGAGACCAUCCUGGCUAACAUGGUGAAACCCCAUCUCUACUAAAAAUACAAAAACAAAGUUAGCCAGGCAUGGUGGCAGGCACCUGUAUUCCCAGCUACUCUCAAGACUGAGGCAGGAGAAUGGCAUGAACCGGGGAGGCAGAGGUUGCAGUGAGCCGAGAUCGCACCACUGCGCUCCAGCCUGGGCGACAGAGAAAGACUCCGUCUCAAAAAAAAAAAAAAAAGAAAGAAAGAAAUUAAAAAAAGAAAUGACACCAGUUUUGGCCAAAAAGUUCUUAAAAUGAGACUUCACAUUUUACAGAAAUAACAAUAAUAACUAAAGAAAAAAAAUCCUUUACCCUAUAGAUUAAAUCUGUUUUCUUUGCUUGUGCAACCCACUUAUUUUCAUGUGGAACCUGGACAUCUGAACUAGAAACAACAGCACCAGUCAGGGUUCAGUGGGAGACUAGUGGUACCUGUGAGAGGGAAAACUGAGCUGAGGUCAAGAAAUUGACUAUCUACAAAGAUGCGUGGGAUUAAGGGAAAUUAGUAAAGGAUGAUGAGAUGCCCAGGAACUAGCAACAGUCGGAAGCCAUUACCUAUGUUUCCUAGGUAACCUGGAAGGAGUUCCCAGAAUCUGGAAAGAAUGUAACAGCAGGGGAGCAUUGUUCAACAGGGGCUGUGCCUUCGGUAGAAGAAUGGAGCCACAGCCCCCCAUAGCCCACAGGAAGCUGGGGGGAGAAAGUCCCAACCUCACUCUCCUCCCGCCUCCAGUCUCCUCCCUUGGCCAAACCCAACAGAGGUCAGAGAUCAAAGGAGCCUAUUGAUGCAGAUCCUCAACCUUCUGGAGCACAGAGGAUGGUGGAGAGGGAGGAAAGGGGAUCUAAAGGGACAAGUGUAGAAUAUCCAGUGCAACAGCUUUUGAUUAGAAAAGAAAGUCAUAUUCCUUUGCUUAAUAUCCAAAUCACAGCAACUCUGAGCCCCUACCUCCCACAAAUUAGUCUUUUGCCCUCAAGCCCUGAAGAGGGUGUUGCACCCAACUUCCCUUACUGAUAGAACACAAGCCCCAGACCCUCACCUGCCACUGGCUUUUGGCAGGAUCUGUGACACUAAAAUUACAUCCGCUCUUUUCUAAUCCUAGCUAAUAUGGGCUAAGAGAGGACAGUCUUAGGAUUCUGGGAACUUCCUGUCCAGCUGAUUCACAAAAGUCACAGACCAGCUGUCUUCUAAAGUAAAACUACCUCCUGGCCAUGACUGUAAUAUGCUAGAUUUCUGGAGCCCUUUAGAAAAAUGGGCUCCUACCGGGCACGGUGGCUCACGCCUGUAAUCCCAGCACUUUGGGAGGCUAAGGCAGGCAGAUCACAAGGUCAGGAGUUUGAGACCAGCCGGACCAAUAUGGUGAAACACCAUCUCUACUGAAAAUACAAAAAUUAGCUGAGCCUGGUGGCAGGUGCCUGUAAUCCCAGCUAUUCAGGAGGCUGAGGCAGGAGAAUCGCUUGAACCUGGGAGGCAGAGGUUGCAGUGAGCUGAGAUUGUGCCACUGCACUCCAGCCUGGGAGACAGAGCAAGACUCUGUCUAAAAAAAAAAAAAAGAAAGAAAGAAAGAGAAAGAAAGAAAGAAAGAAAGAAAGAAAGAAAGAAAGAAAGAAAGAAAAAUGGGCUCCUUCUGGGUGCUUUUACUAAACACUAAAUUAGAAAACAUGUCUUUAUCCUGCAGUCAGGAGACAAUGAUGUAUCGGAUGUCUGCUCCAUAUGAAUUAAAUAAAAGGAGAUGUGAA